UACAUACUCCCUCCGUCCGGAAAAGCUUGUCCCUCAAAUGGAUGUAUCUAGCACCAAGUUAGUGCUAGAUACAUCCAUUUGAGAGACAAGCUUUUUCGGACGGAGGGAGUACAUA
rnacentral:pre_miRNA from 1 species